rnacentral:lncRNA from 1 species
AUAAUGGAAAGACGUCAACCGGAUCAAAGAAAUAUGGAAAAAAGUCGAGAAAUCUACUUUCUUGAAUGAAAUCUUGAUUUUGGAUGGAUAAUCUUCAAGAAUCUUAUACAAUUCCUUUGAUGUUGAUGAUCUAACAUUGUUCUUCGCCUCCAAAAUAUAUAUAAUAUGAUGAAAAUUUAGGUCAAGGGAACUCUUCCUUCAUUCUGGGCAUGUUUAGGUAUAUAUAGGAUGUCAAGAUAUUGUUUCUAUGUAGAAUUUCAUUAGAACACCGGUCAAUGAUUUUGCUCUCGGGUUGGAGAAAAAAGAGUGCUGCGUGUGCGCCAUUUUUGGCCCUCGCGUGUGCCAU